AAAUUAUUUUGGUGUGUUUUGUGUAUUGCAUGCUGAAAUUAUUUUGGUGUGUCUAGUGUGUUACAUGUUGAAAUUAUAUUGAUGUGUUUUGUAUGUUGUAUGUUGCAUGUCAGAUACUCUAGUGACUGAAUUGUCAAGUGUGGGCCAGGGCUUAGUGUCCCCCUUGGCCGAGCGAUUGUAGGGCUGUAGUGUGUGUAGAGUGAAAGAAUUUACAACCUGUUAGCAGCAGAGUAUCUGAAAAUGGGGUCUGGGGCAAGCCAAUGUAGUCCUCUGGAAUGUUUUUUAAACAACUGGAAAGCAGCCACAAAGCAUGAUGAUUGGGGAAUCAAAUUGAGGCAACGGAGGAUGAGAACAUUAUGUGAGGUUGACUGGCCCUCGCAACAAACUAACUGGCCCUCGGAGGGGAGCUUCGAUUUGCAACUAAUCAACCCACUGUAUCGAAAUAUCUUGAACGUCCACCCAGACCAGAUCCCCUACAUUUCUACUUGGAAAACCAAUGUAGAAAAGAACCCAUCGUGGUUGAAAGCCUGCCGAGGCGACGCCCACAAAGUACAGUUUGUGCAGUUCGACCGACAGGGAAGUCAGAAAAGCCCCCAGUGAUACCAGACCC